UACGGGGGGAGCAAGCGUUGUUCGGAUUUACUGGGCGUAAAGGGCGCGUAGGCGGCCAGCACAAGUCAGUUGUGAAAUCUCCGAGCUUAACUCGGAAAGGUCAACUGAUACUGUGCGGCGUAGAGUGCGGGAAGGGGCAACUGGAAUUCUUGGUGUAGCGGUGAAAUGCGUAGAUAAUCGAAGAGGAACACCUGCGGCGAAGGCGGGUUGCUGGGCCGACACUGACGCUGAGGCGCGAAAGCGUGGGGAGCAAACAGG
rnacentral:rRNA from 1 species